rnacentral:snRNA from 1 species
UUUUGGUAGACAAAUGAUGUUAAUAAGUCGUGCACCACACUGAAUAUUUUAUGUGGAUAAAACGAUUCUUUGCUGCCUGUUUUAGAGAAAAAGGAGAAAUCUUUUGUAUCUAUAACAGGUAGUCUGACUAA